rnacentral:rRNA from 1 species
GACGAACGCUGGCGGCGUGCUUAACACAUGCAAGUCGAACGGAAAGGCCCUGCUUGUGUGGGGUGCUCGAGUGGCGAACGGGUGAGUAACACGUGAGUAACCUGCCCUUGACUUUGGGAUAACUUCAGGAAACUGGGGCUAAUACCGGAUAGGAGCUCCUGCUGCAUGGUGGGGGGUGGAAAGUUUCGGCGGUUGGGGAUGGACUCGCGGCUUAUCAGCUUGUUGGUGGGGUAGUGGCUUACCAAGGCUUUGACGGGUAGCCGGCCUGAGAGGGUGACCGGCCACAUUGGGACUGAGAUACGGCCCAGACUCCUACGGGAGGCAGCAGUGGGGAAUAUUGCACAAUGGGCGGAAGCCUGAUGCAGCAACGCCGCGUGCGGGAUGACGGCCUUCGGGUUGUAAACCGCUUUCGCCUGUGACGAAGCGUGAGUGACGGUAAUGGGUAAAGAAGCACCGGCUAACUACGUG